rnacentral:rRNA from 1 species
AGAGUUUGAUCAUGGCUCAGAGUGAACGCUGGCGGCAGGCCUAAUACAUGCAAGUCGAACGGCAGCACGGCAGAGCUUGCUCUGUGGGUGGCGAGUGGCGGACGGGUGAGGAAUACAUGGGAAUCUGCCCAGUCGUGGGGGAUAACGUAGGGAAACUUACGCUAAUACCGCAUGCGCCCUUCGGGGGAAAGCCGGGGACCUUCGGGCCUGGCGCGAUUGGAUGAGCCCAUGUCGGAUUAGCUAGUUGGCGGGGUAAUGGCCCACCAAGGCGACGAUCCGUAGCUGGUCUGAGAGGAUGAUCAGCCACACUGGAACUGAGACACGGUCCAGACCCCUACGGGAGGCAGCAGUAGGGAAUAUUGGACAAUGGGCGCAAGCCUGAUCCAGCCAUGCCGCGUGAGUGAAGAAGGCCCUCGGGUUGUAAAGCUCUUUUGUCCGGAAAGAAAAGCGCCGGGUUAAUACCCUGGUGUCCUGACGGUACCGGAAGAAUAAGCACCGGCUAACUUCGUG